rnacentral:rRNA from 1 species
UCAGUCGACUCCUACGGGGAGGCAGCAGUAAGGAAUAUUGGUCAAUGGAGGGAACUCUGAACCAGCCAUGCCGCGUGCAGGAAGACAGCCCUCUGGGUCGUAAACUGCUUUUAUUCGGGAAUAAACCUUUCUACGUGUAGGAAGCUGAAUGUACCGAAGGAAUAAGGAUCGGCUAACUCCGUGCCAGCAGCCGCGGUAAUACGGAGGAUCCAAGCGUUAUCCGGAUUUAUUGGGUUUAAAGGGUGCGUAGGCGGCUUAUUAAGUCAGGGGUGAAAGACGGUGGCUCAACCAUCGCAGUGCCCUUGAUACUGAUGAGCUUGAAUACACUAGAGGUAGGCGGAAUGUGACAAGUAGCGGUGAAAUGCAUAGAUAUGUCACAGAACACCGAUUGCGAAGGCAGCUUACUAUGGUGUUAUUGACGCUGAGGCACGAAAGCGUGGGGAUCAAACAGGAUUAGAUACCCUGGUAG